rnacentral:lncRNA from 1 species
AAUGAGAUGGAGCUGCCCAGCCAGGAUUUCUGGGCACUGGGUAGUUCCUCGGCUUGUCUUCCUCCCUAGAUUACAUGGAAUCUUCUUGUUUCUGAGACCUGAAUUUUGUUUGGUUGGUUGGUUGUUGUUUUUUUUCUAUUUAACGUAACCAACUAGAUUUUUUUUUUUUUUAACUUUUAAGUUCAGGGAUACAUGUGCAGGGAACAAGCUUCUAAAUUGCUCAAGAGAUGGUGAAAGAUAGGAAAGCUGAGGCAGUAAGGAUAUCACAAAGGAAAACUAUGGUCAAAGCAUGAAGAAGAACAGAAGGAUUUGCAGAGGGGAAACAGAUGUUUACUGUUCAUUUCAUAAUCACAAGGCUGGAUGAAUGUGGAACAACAAAUCAUAGCUUCCAAAACACAACUGCAUCAAAACCACCCCAAAGAUCCCAGGCUCUUUCCUGUUUUUUUAAGAUUCCUUUGUUUCUUCCCAUGAGGGCAGGUGCUCUCUAAUUUCCCUCAGUGACCCCUCUGAAGGUCUUAGAGUCAUGUUGAUUAUUUUUUUCAUUUGCGGAGUGAUUCACCCAUAUGUAGCUUUGCAGAUUAUGCCCAAGCUCAAGGCUUUUCCCCCAGCAGCUGGUACUUGGCUACCCAUGGCUGCCCUUGGGUAAGUAAGGUUAGUCUCCUUACUGCUACGCAUCAGAAUUCCCACUUGCCUCUAGUCUGACUCCCUGAGGCUUCUCCUCCCACCCUGCACCAGCCCUCUCCCAAUUCUUUCUGUUCUUAGCCUUCUGUAUUCUCCUUCUUCCAGGAGCUCUCUAUGCCCCCACCGCAGGUACAGAUCUUUUUUGAGAACACUCUGUUUCCUCACUUAGGAGUUUGCUAGCCGUUUCCAAGAGGCACUAAAGGCCUUUUCUGUUUGAUACGAUCUGCUGGAAACUCCCAAGUCAAGAAAUUUUACAUGCAUAUCUGUUUUUAAAUUGCUUUUUACUGAUGGAUGGUUGACUAUAGAAUUGCUCCUUUUGGCUUGAUUCAUAGGCACCAUUACAGCAUAAAGAAGGGUUUUCUGAACCUACUAAGUCACAUUAGCUGAAACUAUAUACAUUUGUGAUAUCUAAAUGGGUUUGAACUCUAAAACAGCAGUGUCACAAGUUCUACCUAAUUAGAAAUUUCUAUGAAGCUUAUUGACAUUCAUAUUCACAGCUCUGUCUCUAAAUGGGUCUGGUGUAGAAGCCCUUACAUGGACCCAAGAAUCUGCAUUUUUAACAAGUAAGCUUUUCUUAUGGCCAGGCAAGUCUGGGAAAUAUAGGUAUGUCAUAUGUAGUGGAAUAAAUAGGGAGUUAAACAUGGUGCUAAGGCAGUUGAUAUGUUUAUCUGUGCGUAUUGUAUUUGGUAUAAGCAAUUUCAACUUAAUGACUGUGGUGAAGAUGACUAAGUGUCUAUUAAAGUCUGUUUGUCCCUUCUUUGGGCACAUCGCUGGCCUUCCUUGUGAUAAUGUGUGGCCUACAGUUUAAGUUCUCUCCAGUGAAAUGUGAACAGAAGUGAUGCAUGCCACCUGUCAGCCUGGCCCAUACCACCACUCCCUACCCUUACUCCUCCAUAGUCUUUC